rnacentral:lncRNA from 1 species
GAUUUGUAAACACAGAACAGGGGUGUGGAAAUGCUAUGCCCGACUCGCCCGACUCGUACAUUUGAACAACCGGACAAGUAAUUAUUUGUGUCUUGGUUGCCCGUGGACAAGUAAAAAAAUAUACAACAUGUACAAGACAAAGUUCAAAUCCAACAAAAAUAUAAAAUUAAUUUCAAAACGUAUAAAGAUGUUUAAUUUAUGUAAAAGAAACCAAUCUUCAGCAAGUAAAAACAUCAAUGUUCAUGACGAUAAAUAUUACAUGAUACUGGAAAUAGAUCGAUUACAAAAAUAAAUAAAAAUAAUCAUUUACCGGUUGUGUCAUUUCUUUAAAUUUUGUAUCGAGAUUCAGAUAGACAAAUACUUAAUAAAAAGCUGGGCAAGCAAGACAAAACGAAUCAUGAGUCGAGUAGAAAACCUUAAAUGCAAACGGAGGACACAGAGUAUUUAAAAAAAAAAGAAACGGAAGCGAGAAUCACUGUCCUCAAAUUUAGUAUAUUAUGUACCUGCUGGCUACAAUUUUUAUUCCAAAACUGCUGCAAAAUUGUCCUUUAUAUGUCAUUUCAUUGGUUGGUUUGCUGUUAGGUUUCUGUCCCACUGAUGUUAACCCAUUUCCUACUUUCCUAAUUUUUUACACAUAUAAACAAAUGGAUUUCAUUUGUUUGUGAUGCACAAUAGUGCUAAGUAAGAAUCAUAUAUUAGCUAACAAGAAAUACUUCAAUAUUUAUUGGGAUCAUCAGGGCAAGUAAAUUUGUUUCCGGACAAGUAAAAUUUUUAGUUUUACUUGCCCACGGACAAGUGCUCACAACAAAUAUUUCCACACCCCUGAC